AACCUCCUGCCCUGUGCGUGGCCCAGGGAUCAUCAUUGGGGCCUACAAGUGGGCUGUAAGGGAACCCGCCUUCGGAAGGGUCCACGAGGGCUCUCCGAGAGGGUACCCACCUUAGGAAGAGAGGCCCACCGGUAUCUCUGAAGGUCACGGCAGGGCGGGUCUUAA
rnacentral:other from 1 species